rfam:Schistosoma mansoni strain Puerto Rico chromosome 2, complete genome
GCACUGCUGAGGAGUCCCACAAUAGGACAAAACGACCGUUCAGUGC